UACGAAGGGUGCAAACGUUGCUCGGAAUCAUUGGGCGUAAAGCGCACGUAGGCGGCUUCGCAAGUCGGAUGUGAAAUACCUAGGCUCAACCAAGGACGUGCAUCCGAAACUGCGAGGCUUGAGUACAGAAGAGGAUCGCGGAAUUCCCGGUGUAGAGGUGAAAUUCGUAGAUAUCGGGAGGAACACCAGUGGCGAAGGCGGCGAUCUGGGCUGGAUACUGACGCUGAGGUGCGAAAGCGUGGGGAGCAAACAGG
rnacentral:rRNA from 1 species